rnacentral:lncRNA from 1 species
UUAGGCUUUCCAUAGCGACUAGGAGACUAGUUCUCCUAGUAUAAGUGGGAAUCUUGGAACUAACCCAUCAAGUUUCUUGCUUGCGUUGCGUGUCUAUAUAUAUGUGUCAUGUGUGGCCACUUCCUACAUUGUGCAACAUCCAACUCCCUCCCGAUCUCAAGUACGUCCAGGCCAAGCCAAUUACAGUCUCCUCCUCCUCCGUUGUCUUCAAAUAGAGUAGAGAUGGAAUAUCGGUGUCAUUGGAACAACAGAAGCCGUAGCCAAGGGGAUAGAAAUUACAGAAAGCGGUGCAGGACAAGCAGUGACGAUCAUGAUAAUGAUGCAAAGGUGCAGGCCAUUAGAUCUGGAGGUACUGAUGCUGCUGCUGCUGCUGCUGAUGAUGAUAUGGGCUUGGAGAGAGCAAAGAAAUUAUUGGCUACGCUUCAAAAUAAAAAGAUGAUCAAAGAUAUUCACCACAAGGAUCAUGAUCAUACAGCAGCAGCUGCUUAUUCUACUACUAGUCCACAAGCAAUUCCCUCCUUUGCAACUGCAGAUCAAAAGAAUAUCAAUAUUCAUGAAAUCCCGUCCUCCUCAACUACAUGUCCUACUUGUUGUUUGCCCAAGGAACCCAAACUUGUCUUUUCAGAGAUACGGACAUUCGUUGAGGGUCCCCACUUUGAGAAACAAGAAUCCCGCUUCAUCAAACGAAAGAAGAAGAUUGAAAAGAUUAAGGCUGAAGAACAAAAGGCAAGAGAAUAUGCUAUGGAGGUGCUUGCAAAGCUAGUGCCUUCCCAUAUUAAAUUUACAGUCCUUUAGGAGGAUCUAAGCAAGAGAACAUAACAUUGUUAUGCUCAUGGUCAUGAAUGAAAUCAGUCAUAUGUAUGUUUUUUUUUAACUCUUUGGUGAAUGCGAAU